UACGAAGGGGGCUAGCGUUGCUCGGAAUCACUGGGCGUAAAGCGCACGUAGGCGGACUCUUAAGUCGGUGGUGAAAUCCUGGAGCUCAACUCCAGAACUGCCUUCGAUACUGAGAGUCUCGAGUCCGGGAGAGGUGAGUGGAGCUGCGAGUGUAGAGGUGAAAUUCGUAGAUAUUCGCAAGAACACCAGUGGCGAAGGCGGCUCACUGGCCCGGUACUGACGCUGAGGUGCGAAAGCGUGGGGAGCAAACAGG
rnacentral:rRNA from 1 species